ensembl:rRNA 5S_rRNA 5S ribosomal RNA
GUCUACGGCCAUACCACCCUGAACGCGCCCGAUCUCGUCUGAUCUCGGAAGCUAAGCAGGGUCAGGCCUGGUUAGUACUUGGAUGGGAGAAACCCCCGAGUCAGAUU